CAGUCGCCGCGGUAACACGCAGGGGGCGAGCGUUGUCCGAAGUUACUGGGCGUAAAGCGCGCGUAGGCGGCUUCUUAAGCCUGAGGUGAAAGGUUCAACGCUUAACGUGAACAGUGCCUUGGAUACUGGGGAGCUUGAGUAUGGGAGAGGGCAGUGGAAUGGCUGGUGUAGCGGUGAAAUGCGUAGAUAUCAGUCGGAACACCCAUGGCGAAGGCAGCUGCCUGGCCUAAUACUGACGCUGAGGUGCGAAAGCGUGGGGAGCGAACGGGAUUAGAGACCCGAGUAGUCCCUGUCUCUUAUA
rnacentral:rRNA from 1 species